CGUGCAGGUGGUUUUGUAAGUGGUGCGUGAAAGCGCUCGGCUCAACCGGGCGAGUGCGUGCCAAACUGCGGAACUAGAAACAGGCAGAGGAAAGUGGAAUUCGGGGUGUAGUGGUGAAAUGCGUAGAGAUCCCGAGGAACUCCUGUGGCGAAGGCGACUUUCUGGGCCUGCUUUGACACUCAGACGCGAAAGCAUGGGGAGCGAACGGGAUUAGAAACCCCGGUAGUCCAUGCCGUAAACGAUGUCCACUGGGCGUUUGCCUCGCAAGAGGUGAGUGCCGCAGCUAACGCGCUAAGUGGACCGCCUGGGGAGUACGACCGCAAGGUUAAA
rnacentral:rRNA from 1 species